rnacentral:rRNA from 1 species
GAGUUUGAUCUUGGCUCAGGACGAACGCUGGCGGCGCGCUUAACACAUGCAAGUCGAACGGGAUCCUUCGGGGUCCAGUGGCGAACGGGUGCGUAACACGUGAGUAACCUGCCCCUGUGCGGGGGAUAACCCGGGGAAACCCGGGCUAAUACCGCAUGAACUCUAGAUGGCUGCGGCUGACUGGAGGAAAGGUGCCGCAAGGCACCGCGCGGGGAGGGGCUCGCGGCGUAUCAGCUAGUUGGUGAGGUAACGGCUCACCAAGGCGACGACGCGUAGGGGGUCUGAGAGGAUGGCCCCCCACAUUGGGACUGAGAUACGGCCCAGACUCCUACGGGAGGCAGCAGUGGGGAAUCUUGCGCAAUGGCCGAAAGGCUGACGCAGCGACGCCGCGUGUGGGAGGAAGCUUUUUCGGAGUGUAAACCACUGUCGGGAGGGACGAAGGUCCAGGGGAGGCAAUGCCCUUGGGAUGACGGUACCUCCAGAGGAAGCGCCGGCUAACUCCGUGCCAGCCG